UAGUUUUUCCUUGCUUUCAGCCAUCAACUUGUACCAUAUGUGUUCUAAAUUUUGGUUUUCCCAUUGUUGCCGUUUCAUUAGAGGACCAUUGUACAAUUCAGUCACUGGCAGCAAGGAGUAGUUUAUCCCCUUUCUGCUGCUCUGGCAUUAGAUAUACCCUAUGCUGUACUCACAGUUCAUUCAGAAUUCUUGCAAGAGGCAUUUUUGAGUGACUGGUACUGUAGUGCUUGAAUACAGUUGUGUACUCACUUUAUAGCAAACACCACACUAAGUCUGACAUUAUUAACAGCAGCUUAAAAAGCAAACUAUCAGUGUCACUUUCAAUAGUAAAAUUAAAAAAAAAAAAUCGUAAUGACAUUAUUUCCCUGUAUUUUCUAAACUUUGUUAAAUAUGACAAAUAUAAGAAAUCAAAUGAAUCUAAUAAAUUAAGUUAUUAAUACUCACAUUGGUGUGUGCACAAAUACUAGUAUGGGAAUUAAUUACUUCCAGUUACAAGUAUGAAAUUCAGUGUUAACACUUUGUGCAUGAUUUAUCUUUGAUACUUACUGUUACUCUUGUAAAUUACAUUUCAGGCUUGCCAGAAAGCCUUCUGGAAUCUAGAAAAAGAUUCUGGAUGCACUAUUGGAGUUGUCUAAAACUUGUGCUUUACGUGAGUACUUUGGUGUGCUAAUUGUAACAACUUGGUUCAGAAAUUGUGUGUGUGAUAACAGGGACCUGUUGAAACCAUUGGCGGGUUGGAAGGAGGUGAUGCAUUAUGAAAAGAGAAGCAAAUAAGCUUUGUUUCUUUCACAUUAUGCAGCUCCACAGCACCACUUAAGCAUUAUUCGCGUAUAUACAUUAGGAACAACCGGAGAGACAAAGCACGGGACUGAGGUCUCAAAUGUUCCUGCAGGUCUCUUGUAAUAUCAUUCUGGGGUGUAAAUGCUUGAAUAGCAGAAAAGAUUUUUGGUGUACUAUGAGUGUGGAAGUUAUUUCUGGGAUCAUCAAACCUGUGCACCUGGUUAUAUUUCUCUCAGUACAACACAUCAGAUAUUGUUAUCUUGCUGUGAGCUCAGACAGAACUUUUUUGUAGUAACUGUUGAAUUAGAAAAUUAAUACUCUUUAUGUAGGAAAGAAGAAGCUGUACAUGUAUUCAUUGUUAAACUGCUCAGAAUUUUGAAUAGAGAAGAAUCAGUACCAGCAUCUUCACAAGUAAUGACAGCAUAGGAGUGUUACUUCCUGCUCUUUGCAUGUGGUGGUGCAGACCUUUCAUCUCACUAGUAUCUUAGACUGUUCCAUUUAUUUCUUUUGCAACCCAUGUGGAUGUCUACAGCUGUGCAAGAUACAAAAGAUUAUCAGCUGGUACCACAAUAUCAUUGUUAAUAUAUACAUUUUUAUGUGUUGGUUGUAAAUUGUUUUAGUUUUAUUCUAAUUGAUUUUCAGGACUACUUUCCAACUUGCUGUAUUAAGUUCUUCCAUUAGCUGUUGCUGAAGGGUUCACCUGCCAUAGAGGGAAACUGCGUAUCAUCAGCAAGACGCAAGUGAUUAAGGUUUUUGCAGAACCAGCAUAGGAAGUCCAUGUUGGCUACUAUUGCAAGGCUUGAUCAAUCAGACAUCAAGAUCCUUGCCACUGCAACUACUGAAUAGGCUCGUGAUCCUAUUCAGGAGCACAGGUUCUGAGGCAACCCAAGACCGUACUGGAUUUGUGAGUAGGAACUUAUUUCUUUUGAAUCUACGCUGAAAUCAAACAUUGUUAACAACAUAAGUAACAUUUGUAGAGAAAUGUAGCAUCUGCUGGAAAGUUACAGCUGAUAUAAGUAAACAGUUGUACCCAAAAAUUAGUUCAUGGAAAAGCAGUGGCACCAUUAAGGAAGAGUGACAGAAAAUUUUUGGACAAUUAGAUGACUGCAUUGGUUUUCUCCAAAUUCCACUAAUGCAGCAGAUUUCAUCAUUCAGCACUCUUUUACUAAAGCUAAGGACUUUGACAUCUAAAUUCCCAAUUCUUGUGAGGAUUGUACUCAUAAUUUAACUGAAAUAAUGUAAGGGCUCCACUUGAUGUUUACAAAGGUUUAUACACAGCAAGAGAAUUCUUUGUUCUUUCUAUACGCAAAGUCUUCAGCGUUCCUUGCACUAGUAUCUGUAACGGGACUAUUCGUAUCACUUCAUUAUACAAAAGUGAGAAAAUUGUAGGGAAAUCUUAGCAGAUGCAGAUAAAAUUAUUGAUAAUUAAAAUCAAUGAGUGACUUGCGUGAAAUCAAAAGAUGUAUUGCAAACAUGCUGUUGAACAUCUUGUAGUUUCUUCCAUCUCAGCAGUAUGGCAUCUUUGUUUUGCACCCCCAAGUAUAAACCUGGACUAUGUAAUCUCCUCCAGCCCAAGAAUAUGAACUCUGCUAUUAUGUCCAAUUAUUCAGGAUAAAGAUAAAUAGCCACAUUUUUAUGCUGUGUAUUAUGUUGCAGUCAUGUACUUGGUCUUAACCACUACUCAUUCUUAAGAGCACUUUCUGAAAGUGAACUUAAAAUUAAUGAUUGAGGAAGAGGUCCAGUGAAAUUUUCACACUGCUGUUCACUUUAGUUUUGACAAUUUUUCUUGCCACACCAGACAGCUGUGCACCUAUUAUAAGUCAGUUCCUUGUUACUUCCUUAAAUUCACAGAUUAAUUAAUUUCAUGUUUGUCUAGUAAACAUUUCAAUCUUAUUAAAUAUGUUGACCGGAAUUAUUCUUAUUUCAUCAGUAGAAACUUUCCAAGUUUAAAUUAAUGUGUUUCAGAGUAUUCAACUUUGUUGUAUGUAAUGCUGCCACCCUGGUUUUAUCAAAAACAAAACUGAAACCACUGUUUCUGUUCAUUUUACCUAAGUAUGACAAUUAGAACACACAAAAUAAAGCAAUAUACCCAUUUACAUGUGUGUGUAGUUGCGAACAUCGAAAGGCAGUUUACAUUCACGCCACAAGUUAAUCUGUAAAUAUAGCUACAUGCUGAACAUUUACAAAUGUUUUAUUUAUUUAUUUUUUAAUGUAAGAAUGUGAGUUAUUAAUUCCUA